rnacentral:tRNA from 1 species
UCCCUGGUGGCUCAGACAGUAAAGCGUCUGCCUGCAAUGCAGGAGUCCAGGUUUGAUCCCUGUGUGGGAA